CCUUUCAGCCAGGGUCUCCUCCCGAUAUAGCUAGCUCGUGUCGUGUCGUUUUGGAUUUGUUAUCUUGUGGAUUUAUCUUUUGGAUCUAUUUUUUGGUUUUUGGAUUUCUCGCUUUGGACUUGGUUCCAGUCGCCUCAUCAUGCUCCUGGUGUCUGUUCUGCUGGUCAGCUGCUCCUGGAGUGCGGGUCUGGUGCCACUUUGAGUUGGUGUGUCCUGGUCCAUGGGGAACUUCCUUCUGAUGAUGAGCAUGGAUAGGUUUGGGGGUUGUUUCAAGACCAGAAUUUCAGGCCUUAUGACAGCUUGGAGUCCUUCAGUGAACAAUAGGCAUUCAUGGGGACUUUGAAGUGGACCUAUUUCCUAAGCAUCGCAGGUCAGUAACCAUUUUAUGAGUCAUGCCAAUAUGCUCCAUGGCACUAUUCCAACAAAAAUGAUGACAACUUUAGCAACCCCUGGAGAAAAGACUCCCUGAUGACUCACCAGGCUGAAACUGAAAUUGACUAAACAAAGGAAACUUGUUUCCCCAUUGGUUCCUCUGGUCAGGUGUCAGCGAGGCUAGGUGAACUUCUUAACCCUUUACAGAGAGGAUGGAGGAGAACACCACUUGAGACUCAAACUCUUCUGACAAUGGCUAAUGCCAGGUGCCCCAGAGGGAAUGAACAGAACAGAUUGAUGAACAGAAACAAAAAUCAAAGAAAGAAAACACUCAAGAAGUUUUGAAAAGAAAACAUUAUUAAUGAUUUCCUGUAUUCUCACUGUCUGAAUCACUGUGGGUUUCUUCAGCACCCUAUUGAAACACCUAAUUAAAAGGUAAUUAGUAUCUUUCACGGCGAGAAAGAAUAUGUCGUUAAGUCUUCAGUAACAGACUUCAGCUGUACAUGCAAGAAAACUUCAAGGUGACUCUGCUACCAAUCUGCCUUUAGAACAUCAGCAAUUAACUAUCUAUAAAAAUUAAAUAUGCAUUAAAUUCAAAACAAAUGUUUACAAUUCAAAAGUAUAUAAAAAGGGAAAUUUUCUCAACAGAAGGCUUUUUGAAGAGAAGGCUACAAGAAAUCAAGGUUACUGUAGGAGUAUGUUUUAAUGAGCAUCUGAUAAGGAAUAUGAAUAGUUUCCCCAUGAAAUCUAAUAAGACAGAGUACUAGCUUGAAAAUCACUGAUGAUUAAAUGACCUUGAAGCAUUCUUUAUAACAAUACAUGAGA